rnacentral:rRNA from 1 species
UGGGGAAUUUUGGACAAUGGGCGAAAGCCUGAUCCAGCAAUGCCGCGUGUGUGAAGAAGGCCUUCGGGUUGUAAAGCACUUUUGUCCGGAAAGAAAUCCUUGGCUCUAAUACAGUCGGGGGAUGACGGUACCGGAAGAAUAAGCACCGGCUAACUACGUGCCAGCAGCCGCGGUAAUACGUAGGGUGCAAGCGUUAAUCGGAAUUACUGGGCGUAAAGCGUGCGCAGGCGGUUUGCUAAGACCGAUGUGGAAUCCCCGGGCUCAACCUGGGAACUGCAUUGGUGACUGGCAGGCUAGAGUAUGGCAGAGGGGGGUAGAAUUCCACGUGUAGCAGUGAAAUGCGUAGAGAUGUGGAGGAAUACCGAUGGCGAAGGCAGCCCCCUGGGCCAAAUACUGACGCUCAUGCACGAAAGCGUGGGGAGCAAACAGGAUUAGAUACCCUGGUAGUCCACGCCCUAAAACGAUGUCAACUAGUUGUUGGGGAUUCAUUUCCUUAGUAACGUAGCUAACGCGUGAAGUUGACCGCCUGGGGAGUACGGUCGCAAGAUUAAAACUCAAAUGAAUUGACGGGGUCAUAGCUGUUUCCU